rnacentral:tRNA from 1 species
UCGGGGCGUAGCGCAGCUUGGUUAGCGCACCAGUAUGGGGUGCUGGUGGCCGCUGGUUCAAAUCCAGUCGCCCCGAU